rnacentral:lncRNA from 1 species
AAAACAUCCAAACCAUGUGCAAAAUGAUCAUUUUUCAUACGUAGGCGGAUGUUGCAUUAAAUGCAUAAUGCUUUGUAUUAAUUUUAGUUGACUUAGGAUUGUUGUAAAGUGGUAUUCUUAAUCCUAAAUUAGGAUUAUGCAAAGUAGAUAAUGAAGGAACACAGGGAUUAAGCGUAUUGUACGUGCAUUGAGAAGACAGAUAAAUU